UUUUUUUUUGUAUGAAUUGGCUAUGGCAGCUAAACAGUGACAGUAUUCAAGUACAGUGACAAGUGCACUGUGCAGAAGCAUCAUCCCAGCACAGUUUCCAUCACCAUUUUUGUAGACUUUUGUGUGGUUAUACUUUAUACACCAUUUUGUACAGUAAAUUUGAAGUGCAUAAGUUGUACCAUUCACUACAUGGAGUUAGUGACCAAAAUUAUGGCUUCAUAUUUUAAAUAGAAAAAUGAGAAAGGGAAAAAAAUAAAAAAAACCCCAAAUAUCACAGAUUCUAAUGCUAUUUUAGUGUUAAUUCCAGCUGUUUCUUCUAAAAACUAUAUAUAGGCUGAGCUGUUAGAUUAUCAUUCCAUUUAGGCACAGUCUUUUCUGGUAUGUUGAAUCAGAUCUUGAAAUUAUCAAGGAAUAAAUUGACUUCAGUGCAUACAGGGACAGACUUUUAAAGCAGUUCUAUGUGGUUCUGUCUGAUCAAUAAGUACAUGGUUUAUGUUCUUGACUACAUUGUCUUGAUUUAGAGAGUUCACUUGUAACCUGAGACAUAGUAUUCCUGUAUUGGGAUGAGCUACAGUGAAACAACACGAAGACCACGAACUCACCUAUCAUUUCUCACCACAGUGUGCAGGUAAAAAUAUAACACCUCACCAUUUUAUCUUGCUGUAUAUCACUGUACAAUCAGCAGUACUUUCUUUUCAUCAAAACCUACUUGACAAAAACUGUAAAAUAUGAGAAAGCACUAAGUCUUUCAUGUUGCAGAAAUAUAAGCUGCAUCCAGCCCAGCCUUUAAGCGAGCCAAUCCUCCAACAGGAAGAUAUAAGCUGUCACAAGUGCUUUGCACAGACUGCUUUUUACACAGAUUUUGAAUUUCAUUGUGGGCUGACAUCACACAAUAGCCACCAGUAUCAGCAACUGUAACUAAAACCAGAGAUGUUCCAAGAGUUACCCCUUCUGGGUGAAUUAAACUGUUAAAUACAUUCCAGCAUAUUUCUGUAUUCACUAUUCAGUCCUGUUCACUAACUAGAAAGAAAUAGUUAUACACUGAAAUUGAAAAUUAAUUGCAAAUUCAUGGCAGAGAGAAACCCUAACAACUCCCAGCAGUUACAGCUGAGGAAGGAUACAUUUUCAAUCAAACAACCAUGGAAGAGCAGGCAGUCCUCUCCUGUUUUACAAGAAAGAUGACUUUUUAUUCUGCAUUUCAAACCACUGCUAAGAGACUUUUACCUCUUCAGCUGUGCAACACCUAUAACUAGAAACAACAAUAAAUUAAGGAUGGAAAAUCCCAGAGGUAUUCCUCAUGUUUGAUUUCAAACAUACUGUGUUGAGUUCAAUAAACCUCUCAGCAACAAAUGUUCAGCUAACACCAUGCAGGUUCAGAAACAUCAUGAGCCUCUACAGGCUCACGGAGACUUGGAGCAAGACUCAGAAAAGAAGUUAGGAAAUUUUUCCUCUGUAACCAAUUUUUUUUUUUCCUUAAUACUGAACUGAGCAAGUGAUUAAGUACUGUUAAGUUGUUUUCUAGGGUUUGCAGACUUUUUUUUUUUUUUUUUGCAUAAGGGCAUUUGCUAAAAGUAAAAUUCAAACCUAAACAAACUUAGUUAAAGCCCCAAUUCCUAUGUUCCUCACCCUGGCUUUGCUAACGUGGGUUAACACCCAAUCACGUAUUUCAAGGUCCGAAGGGACCAACAUGAUCAUCUAGUCUGAAGUACUGCAAAAGAUAGACCACAGAAUUUCACCCAGCA
rnacentral:lncRNA from 1 species